rnacentral:sRNA from 1 species
CCAGUGCCUAGCCCGACGGGGCGAAAAGCCGGAUUCCUUUCCCUUCGGCUGGCACUGGUUCUUAUUUUUAGGG